CAGUGCUUCUGUUGAGCACAGUGGUCACUCAAAAGAGGCAGAGUGAGUUCAGCCUAUCAUUUGAGAUCCGAGUAUGAUUGGGGAAAUAUCCUGAAAUAGUCUAUGAUUUGAAGAAAUGGAUAGAUGGCUAGAAUAACAUGCUAGAUGGUAGUCAAGUUACUAACUGCAGAAUUGAUUUGAUAAAAUUCUCAUCGUGUCUCCUGACUUAGGAGAAAUAUUGGGUCUGAUGAAUGGGUAAAAUUCCCAGGUGAAAAGAAUUUGGUCUGUAAGAUUUGGCAGCACCCUGAGGUUUGCCAUAUCUGAUGGCCUGGCUUUAGUGGCAGCACCUAGUGAAGGCCCAGGUGUCCUUCUGACAACCUUUACCACCUACCGUUUUGUCCUUACUUAUGUUGAAUCACUACACACAGGCUGUUGAAUUCAGCUGUCUGUGGAGAAAUUAUACCAACCACAUGGUUAGACAGAAGGAAUACAAUAUAUUGCUUAAUUUGUAUCUGAAAGCUAAGCAACAUGGAAAAAAAUCAAGCAUGCUCAGUCACUUCCAUGAGGACAAACGAAGACACUUCAAGAUAAUGAUUGAUACACCUCCCAUGCCCCACCUCUCACCCAGGACAGGAUCGAAGUGUUGGGGGAGCCACAACCUGCUUCACCUAGAAAGAGGACAUUGACAUGGAUCUGCCAGCUUUCUAAGACUUUCCCCAGAUUCAAGUCCAGUCACAUCAAGUUGCCUUAUUAAAGGGUCUGCCCACUCAAAAGGAGAAAGUGCAAAAGAUGCUCAGCAAGGGUAGCAAACGCAGUCAGAUGAUACUUCCUGACAGCAUCCAAGAGCAAGUCUCACCACCACAUCUGUCAAUAAAAAAGAAAACAAGGAGCUGCCAAUUUGUCUAUUUAUAGGUGCCAAUAAAAUCCUGC
rnacentral:lncRNA from 1 species